rnacentral:rRNA from 1 species
UCAGGAUGAACGCUAGCUACAGGCUUAACACAUGCAAGUCGAGGGGCAGCAUGGUCUUAGCUUGCUAAGGCCGAUGGCGACCGGCGCACGGGUGAGUAACACGUAUCCAACCUGCCGUCUACUCUUGGACAGCCUUCUGAAAGGAAGAUUAAUACAAGAUGGCAUCAUGAGUCCGCAUGUUCACAUGAUUAAAGGUAUUCCGGUAGACGAUGGGGAUGCGUUCCAUUAGAUAGUAGGCGGGGUAACGGCCCACCUAGUCUUCGAUGGAUAGGGGUUCUGAGAGGAAGGUCCCCCACAUUGGAACUGAGACACGGUCCAAACUCCUACGGGAGGCAGCAGUGAGGAAUAUUGGUCAAUGGGCGAGAGCCUGAACCAGCCAAGUAGCGUGAAGGAUGACUGCCCUAUGGGUUGUAAACUUCUUUUAUAAAGGAAUAAAGUCGGGUAUGGAUACCCGUUUGCAUGUACUUUAUGAAUAAGGAUCGGCUAACUCCGUGCCAGCAGCCGCGGUAAUACGGAGGAUCCGAGCGUUAUCCGGAUUUAUUGGGUUUAAAGGGAGCGUAGAUGGAUGUUUAAGUCAGUUGUGAAAGUUUGCGGCUCAACCGUAAAAUUGCAGUUGAUACUGGAUAUCUUGAGUGCAGUUGAGGCAGGCGGAAUUCGUGGUGUAGCGGUGAAAUGCUUAGAUAUCACGAAGAACUCCGAUUGCGAAGGCAGCCUGCUAAGCUGCAACUGACGUUGAGGCUCGAAAGUGUGGGUAUCAAACAGGAUUAGAUACCCUGGUAGUCCACACGGUAAACGAUGAAUACUCGCUGUUUGCGAUAUACUGCAAGCGGCCAAGCGAAAGCGUUAAGUAUUCCACCUGGGGAGUACGCCGGCAACGGUGAAACUCAAAGGAAUUGACGGGGGCCCGCACAAGCGGAGGAACAUGUGGUUUAAUUCGAUGAUACGCGAGGAACCUUACCCGGGCUUAAAUUGCAGAUGAAUUACGGUGAAAGCCGUAAGCCGCAAGGCAUCUGUGAAGGUGCUGCAUGGUUGUCGUCAGCUCGUGCCGUGAGGUGUCGGCUUAAGUGCCAUAACGAGCGCAACCCUUGUUGUCAGUUACUAACAGGUUCCGCUGAGGACUCUGACAAGACUGCCAUCGUAAGAUGUGAGGAAGGUGGGGAUGACGUCAAAUCAGCACGGCCCUUACGUCCGGGGCUACACACGUGUUACAAUGGGGGGUACAGAGGGCCGCUACCACGCGAGUGGAUGCCAAUCCCCAAAACCUCUCUCAGUUCGGACUGGAGUCUGCAACCCGACUCCACGAAGCUGGAUUCGCUAGUAAUCGCGCAUCAGCCACGGCGCGGUGAAUACGUUCCCGGGCCUUGUACACACCGCCCGUCAAGCCAUGGGAGCCGGGGGUACCUGAAGUGCGUAACCGCGAGGAGCGCCCUAGGGUA